rnacentral:lncRNA from 1 species
UUUUUUUUUUUUUUUGGUUCGUUCGCUCAAGUUUAGCAUGUUGGGAAGGAGGGAGAACAAAUCGUUGGAAUUUUGAGAAAAGAACUUUUUGAGAAAUCCCAUCUCCCAAAUACUCAAUUAUAGCCUAGAGCGUUGGAGUCAAAGGGCUUGACUCUAGUUUUCUCAAACUUGAGGGAUCCAACAACAAUUUGACCCAAGGUCAGUUCGCCGAACUGACCUGAUUAUAAAUAAGUAACUGAUUUAUAGGUGUGAGAAGUGAAACUAAGAAUGCACCUCCAGACAAAGCCAGGCCUAAAGAUAAGAAUGAAGGGUGCAGCCUAUUUUUGUAAAGCAUUGGUGGAGAAAGCAGAGGUUCAAGAAGUAUUUUGAAGGACAUCCUUAUUUAUACUGGUGUAAAAGCCUUGAAGGGCAAAAUCUAAUAUUUACAAGGAUAUAAGAAAAAACAAUUAAUUUAAUGUUUUGAGGGGAUAUAAAAGGAUUUCUAAAAUCUUGAGGGCAACAAAGUCUAAUUUUUACAUAUAACCAAAAGUUUUUGUUUUAUUUUUUGUGGAAUGUACAAGCGUAAUGGCACCUAUAUUUAUUCAUUGGUCAACAGCAAAGGAAAGGGGCAGAUCCCGUGCAUAGUUCAUUAUGAUACUCGCAUAGAAUAGGUCCUCAGUUUGUCCGCACAAAUGAGAAAAGUGGUGAUUGCCCUGUGAGUUAAUAGUAAUUGAUCAAAUAGCAACGAACAGCUUCAGUUCAAAUUUUGUGUAUCCUACCCAUAAUUCUUCCAAACUGUAAAAAUGGAAAAGAACAUUAAUGUGCCUGCCCAUAAUUCAUCAUUUUGUUUUCUUUCUUUGUUUUGUCAGUUGCAACUCACAAAGCAAUUAAACCUACCUAGCUCUUUUACUUAUCCAUAUUCAACAGGACGCAGUUGAUGAGGUCCAUUUUCUUCUUCCAUUAAUCAACCAACCGGGCAUUAUAUUAUUGAUCAGUUCGCAAACCCAAGUGCUCGUCUAGCAUCCACAGCUACAAUAAGUCUAGAGCUGCAUCCAUUGCAAAUCUGUUCUUCACAGUUGAAUUCUCCACUGUUGAUUGGAUUAUCAAUUAUUUAAGACUCAAUUAAUCCGCUGUUGAAUUUUUUUUUUUCUGUCCUUACCGUACCCGUGUGUUCUCUGACAGUCCUACAAAGACGCAACCAUCUCAAGAAAUCCAGUUAAGAAUCCUGGACGACAUUAACUGGACGUUACCUGGUCUCUCUGCCAUAACAUCGUAACAUUAUUGACAUACCAGUAGCAUGCAGGGAGUACACUCAGCAGCAAGAACAUACCAGGAAAAUGACGAUAUAAAAGGCACGCAGAAGUGUGGUCCGUAGCAAGUAGCAACUCGAGCAGGAAUUUGGGAUCCACAAUCUUAAACUCAUAUUACAACCGACAGCAUCGUUUCCAUCUAAAACACUUAAUAUGGAACAAUAACUGCUCUAUACCAAGAACAUAUAGCAGAAUACUUUUAUAUACAGAUUGACUUAUAUUAUAUAAGGCACAUUAAUCAUGUAACUCUCAUCGUGUGUCAUCAGCAACUUGGGAGCUCCU